UACAUAUGUAGUGGAAAUGCUAAAUCAUGGCCUGAAGCAGUGAUUGGGCACCUGGUGGGAAGGCAGGGCCAACUCAGAGGAGUUCAGGUGCAAGCAAUGUACCUGAGUGGCUGGGAGGGGUAGAGCCAGGAUCCACCCCUUCCCAGACCUCAUUUAAGGGCUGGCAGUAGAGGUGAGAGUAUCUCUUGCUGGAGAUCUCUGUGUACCUGAGGCCUUUCUAAGGUAUUGUUGUAUAUGCCAUCUCACGUUUUCAUAGAAACAGAGGAUUGUUUGGUUUGGAAGGGACCUUACAUAUCAUCCAGCUGCAACUCUCCUGCCAUGGCUGCUGAAAAAAACAACGGCCUGUUUUGCAGGGUAAAAUUGAGAACUAACAGUUUCCGAGCAGCUGCUGCACUUGCAUGAAA
ensembl:lncRNA